rnacentral:rRNA from 1 species
GAUGAACGCUGGCGGCGUGCCUAAUACAUGCAAGUCGAACGCACAGCGAAAGGUGCUUGCACCUUUCAAGUGAGUGGCGAACGGGUGAGUAACACGUGGAUAACCUACCUCAAGGUUGGGGAUAACAUUUGGAAACAGAUGCUAAUACCGAAUAAAACUUAGUAUCGCAUGAUACCAGGUUAAAAGCGCUACGGCGUCACCUAGAGAUGGAUCCGCGGUGCAUUAGUUAGUUGGUGGGUAAAGGCUUACCAAGACAAUGAUGCAUAGCCGAGUUGAGAGACUGAUCGGCCACAUUGGGACUGAGACACGG